rnacentral:rRNA from 1 species
GACGAACGCUGGCGGCGUGCUUAACACAUGCAAGUCGAACGGAAAGGCCCUGCUUUUGUGGGGUGCUCGAGUGGCGAACGGGUGAGUAACACGUGAGUAACCUGCCCUUGACUUUGGGAUAACUUCAGGAAACUGGGGCUAAUACCGGAUAGGAGCUCCUGCUGCAUGGUGGGGGUUGGAAAGUUUCGGCGGUUGGGGAUGGACUCGCGGCUUAUCAGCUUGUUGGUGGGGUAGUGGCUUACCAAGGCUUUGACGGGUAGCCGGCCUGAGAGGGUGACCGGCCACAUUGGGACGGAGAUACGGCCCAGACUCCUACGGGAGGCAGCAGUGGGGAAUAUUGCACAAUGGGCGGAAGCCUGAUGCAGCAACGCCGCGUGCGGGAUGACGGCCUUCGGGUUGUAAACCGCUUUCGCCUGUGACGAAGCGUGAGUGACGGUAAUGGGGAAAGAAGCACCGGCUAACUACGU